rnacentral:snRNA from 1 species
GAUCUUGGUGGUAGUAGC